UCGCUUUGGCAGCACAUAUAUUAAAAUUAGAAGAAUACAAAGAAGAUUAGCCCAGCUUCCUGAGCAAGGAUGACACGUAAAUUCAUGAAGUGUUCCAUAUUCUU